CUUCGCGCGACUUUCCGUUCCCUUGCUACAUUCCGAGGAGCGCCUGGGCGCUGGGGCAUGGCCUGGCGGGCAGGUGGCCUUCCUGCCGUUUCUGCGCUGCGGGCGGCGUCCAUUUCGCUUGCAAGCUUCGUUGCGUUCGCACGCCUUUUUCUGGCUCCCGUUGUCUCGCGUUCCGUCGUUGCUCUGGUGCCCUGGACUGCUGUGAAUGUGUUUUUAUGCCCUACUAGUGUUGCCUGGGGGUGCUUUUAUGUGUGCACCCUGGAAGAUAGGUCCAGAAGCCUUGCGAUUUCUUAGAUUAAAGCUAAGUGUACUCGUGACCCUACCAGCACUUUUCAAGAUACUUUCGACGUAUUCAUUGCGGUGAACAACGCGGUUGGGACAGCACACUCACGACGUGGGAAGGUCACAGAAAUGUUGAAAGA